UGGACACUUCCGAGGCCCAGCCGCGUCCGCCUCGGUGCUGUGGACCAGAGGGCCCCUCUCAUCCAGCACGUGUGUGGCUUUGUUGGUGUACCCUCAUGAAGGAAGUCACAUCCCUGUGUGCCCCUGCCCCUGUGGUGUCCUUGACUCUGAUCCGGUGUCUGGCUGAUGUCAGUGACCUGGCUCAUGAGCGGUGGAGAAAUUGAAAGUGCCAUGGGUCUCAGGAACAAGAUUUGUGUGAGAUAAGAAAGAAGAGGCCUCAGGACUUGGGGUGCAUUCCCAUCUUUGACCAGAAGUUCAGAGCAUCAGGACAGAGAGAAGUCACAGAGAGAGCAGAUUUCCCAGGACUGGGGAAGAUGAUCAAGUCACAGGUAAGUUGUUUGUCCUUCAGUCAUUUUAUCUGUGGAUGUGAUGAGGCUUCCAGGAAUUUCUACAACCAACAGAAAAGGUUUAAAUACAUUUAA
rnacentral:lncRNA from 1 species